CAUAUCAAUAAGCGGGAGGAAAAGAAACCAACAGGGAUUGCCUCAGUAACGGCGAGUGAAGCGGCAAAAGCUCAAAUUUGAAAUCUGGCAGCCUCGCUGUCCGAGUUGUAAUUUGAAGAUUUCUCUUUGUGAGAGGCGCCUUGUCUAUGUUCCUUGGAACAGGACGUCGCAGAGGGUGAGAAUCCCGUGUGAUGAGGCCGCCGAUCCGUGUAAAGAGUCAUCGACGAGUCGAGUUGUUUGGGAAUGCAGCUCUAAGUGGGUGGUAAACUCCAUCUAAAGCUAAAUAUUGGCGAGAGACCGAUAGCGAACAAGUACAGUGAUGGAAAGAUGAAAAGAACUUUGAAAAGAGAGUGAAAAAGUACGUGAAAUUGUUGAAAGGGAAGGUUAUUAGAUCAGACUUGGCGGCGCGCCAUACCUGUCCUCUUGUAGGGCGGACACUGGCGCGUGUUUGCUGGGCCAGCAUCGAUUCGGGCGGCGGGACAUGGUCCUGUGGGAUGUGGCUGUUUUAACACAGUGUUAUAACCACGGGUCUCUGCCGCCUGCCUGGAUCGAGGACUGCGUCUGUUUACAGACUAGGAUGCUGGCGUAAUGAUCUAAUAUCGCCCGUCUUGAAACACGGA
rnacentral:rRNA from 1 species